rnacentral:rRNA from 1 species
GUGGAUUAGAUACCCGAGUAGUCCACGCCCUCAACGAUGUCAACUAGGUGUUGGGUGGGUAAAACCAUUUGGUACCGUAGCUAACGCGUGAAGUUGACCGCCUGGGGAGUACGGCCGCAAGGUUAAAACUCAAAGGAAUUGACGGGGACCCGCACAAGCGGUGGAUGAUGUGGAUUAAUUCGAUGCAACGCGAAAAACCUUACCUACCCUUGACAUGCCAGGAACUUGCCAGAGAUGGCUUGGUGCCCGAAAGGGAGCCUGGACACAGGUGCUGCACGGCCGUCGUCAACU